rnacentral:sRNA from 1 species
AAUAAGUUUUCACCGUAAAAAUAAAGAAGUAGUUCGACUCAAAAUUACAAGAGUUGUCUUUUUGGUUUUUCCCACUAUAAGAGUUGUCUUUUUUAGUUGAAAGUUACUUUUCUUAAAACAAUCGGUAUUUGAAGGAGAUUUAAAUUCGGGAACUUCUUCAAUAUUGAAAAAAUAAGUAUUAGAUCGUUUGCUUGCGUCACAAAUAAAUUGAACUUCUUUAUCAUAAGAUUGUGCCCUAGAGGGGUUUAAUCUGUAGUUAAGUUUUUUUCCUAUGCCUUGUCACCAAGGAUUUUGUAUUUUAUUUGUGUUUAUGCCAAGAGACAAUCCUAAACUAAUCUGAUCUUAGUUUGCAACUGCACAGUAAAUUGAAAGACAAAAAGUAAUGCAAGUAAUGAUAGAAAGGAAAGACUGGGAAGUAAAGGAUGAUGUUCAUCAAAUGUUAAUUAACAAGAAAGUAAAUUGCAUAUAAGGCUAAGAAUUUGAAAAGAAAUGACAAAUACAAGUAUUCAGGCAAAGUUUAAACCUAUUCAGGCAACUACUAAUAGGCAAAUUCUUGCAAGUAAGGGAAUUUUUUUUAGAAAGGAAGUUAAUACAAAAAAUCGAUUCUAGAAGUGAUAUUGCAGAGCUAUA